rnacentral:rRNA from 1 species
GAUGAACGCUGGCGGCGUGCCUAAUACAUGCAAGUCGAGCGAACAGACGAGGAGCUUACUCCUCUGACGUUAGCGGCGGACGGGUGAGUAACACGUGGAUAACCUACCUAUAAGACUGGGAUAACUUCGGGAAACCGGAGCUAAUACCGGAUAACAUGUUGAACCGCAUGGUUCAACAGUGAAAGACGGUCUUGCUGUCACUUAUAGAUGGAUCCGCGUCGCAUUAGCUAGUUGGUAAGGUAACGGCUUACCAAGGCAACGAUGCGUAGCCGACCUGAGAGGGUGAUCGGCCACACUGGAACUGAGACACGGUCCAGACUCCUACGGGAGGCAGCAGUAGGGAAUCUUCCGCAAUGGGCGAAAGCCUGACGGAGCAACGCCGCGUGAGUGAAGAAGGUCUUCGGAUCGUAAAACUCUGUUAUUAGGGAAGAACAAUUGUGUAAGUAACUAUGCACGUCUUGACGGUACCUAAUCAGAAAGCCACGGCUAACUACGUG